rnacentral:rRNA from 1 species
AGUGAACGCUGGCGGCGUGCCUAAUACAUGCAAGUCGAACGAAGUGGGCACGGGUGAGUAAUAUAUAGUUAAUCUCCCUACACAGAGGACAACCGUUGGAAACGGCUGCUAAACCUAUAGUGUAGGAUGAGACUAUAUCGUAUCAGCUAGUUGGUAAGGUAAUGGCUUACCAAGGCUAUGACGCGUAACUGGUCUGAGAGGAUGACCAGUCACAUUGGAACUGAGACACGGUCCAAAAUCCUACGGUAGGCAGCAGGAGGGAAUCUUCGGCAAUGGACGAAAGUCUGACCGAGCAACGCCGCGUGAGUGAAGAAGGUUUUCGGAUCGUAAAACUCUGUUGUUAGAGAAGCGGUAUCUAACCAGAAAGCCACGGCUAACUACGUGCCAGCAGCCGCGGUAAUUC